GGUAAAAUUACAAGAUCAUAUGGUAAGUGUAUGUUUGACUUUUAUGAAACUGCCCAACUCUUUUCUGAAGUGGCUGCACCAUUUUGCAUUCCCACUAGCAAU
rnacentral:pre_miRNA from 1 species